rnacentral:rRNA from 1 species
CGGGUGCACCAGGCGCGAAAACUCUACAAUGCAGGCAACUGCGAUAGGGGAACAUCGAGUGGCACCCACCAUGGGUGUCUGUCCAGCCGUCUAAAAAACGGCUGUUAGCAAGGGCCGGGCAAGACCGGUGCCAGCCGCCGCGGUAAUACCGGCGGCUCGAGUGGUGGCCGAUAUUAUUGAGUCUAAAGGGUCCGUAGCCGGCUUUGCAAGUCCCCUGGGAAAUCCAGCGGCUUAACCGUUGGGCUUUCAUGGGAUACUACAUUGCUUGGGACUGGGAGAGGUAGGAGGUACUCAGGGGGUAGGGGUGAAAUCCUGUAAUCCUCUGGGGACCACCGGUGGCGAAGGCGUCCUACCAGAACAGGUCCGACGGUGAGGGACGAAAGCUAGGGGCACGAACCGGAUUAGAUACCCGGGUAGUCCUAGCCGUAAACGAUGCUCGCUAGGUGUCACGGCAGUCGUGAAUUGUCGUGGUGCCGUAGGGAAGCCGUGAAGCGAGCCACUUGGGAAGUACGACCGCAAGGUGGAAACUUAAAGGAAUUGGCGGGGGAGCAC